rnacentral:rRNA from 1 species
GAUGAACGCUGGCGGCGUGCCUAAUACAUGCCAGUCGAGCGAACGGACGAGAAGCUUGCUUUUCUGAUGUUAGCGGCGGACGGGUGAGUAACACGUGGAUAACCUACCUAUAAGACUGGGAUAACUUCGGGAAACCGGAGCUAAUACCGGAUAAUAUUUUGAACCGCAUGGUUCAAAAGUGAAAGACGGUCUUGCUGUCACUUAUAGAUGGAUCCGCGCUGCAUUAGCUAGUUGGUAAGGUAACGGCUUACCAAGGCAACGAUGCAUAGCCGACCUGAGAGGGGGAUCCGCCCACAUUGAAAUGGGGACAGGGCCCAAAUCCUAAGGGAGGCAGGAGGAGGGAAUCUUCCGGCAAGGGCGGAAGGCUUAAGGAGGAAACGCGGGGGAGGGAUGAAGGGUUUCGGAUCGUAAAAACCUUGUAAUAGGGAAGAACAAAUGGGGAAGGAAACGUGCAAAGUUUGAAGGUACCUAAUCAGAAAGGCAAGGCUAAAUUAGUG